GACGAACGCUGGCGGCGUGCUUAACACAUGCAAGUCGAGCGGUAAGGCCUUUCGGGGUACACGAGCGGCGAACGGGUGAGUAACACGUGGGUGAUCUGCCCUGCACUUCGGGAUAAGCCUGGGAAACUGGGUCUAAUACCGGAUAUGACCUCCUAUCGCAUGGUGGGUGGUGGCAAGAUUUAUCGGUGCAGGAUGGGCCCGCGGCCUAUCAGCUUGUUGGUGGGGUAAUGGCCUACCAAGGCGACGACGGGUAGCCGACCUGAGAGGGUGACCGGCCACACUGGGACUAAGACACGGCGCAGACUCCUACGGGAGGCAGCAGUGGGGAGUAUUGCACAAUGGGCGAGAGCCUGAUGCGGCGACGCCGCGUGUGGGAUGACGGCCUUCGGGUUGUAAACCUCUUUCAGCAGGGACGAAGCGGAAGUGACGGUACCUGCAGAAGAAGCACCGGCUAACUACGUG
rnacentral:rRNA from 1 species